rfam:Schistosoma haematobium scaffold875_2, whole genome shotgun sequence.
AUCCAUUUGACGAGUCCCAAAUAGGAGGAAACGAGCGUCUUGUAU